UACGAAGGGGGCUAGCGUUGCUCGGAAUCACUGGGCGUAAAGCGCACGUAGGCGGAUCGAUCAGUCAGGGGUGAAAUCCCAGGGCUCAACCCUGGAACUGCCUUUGAUACUGUCGAUCUGGAGUAUGGAAGAGGUGAGUGGAAUUCCGAGUGUAGAGGUGAAAUUCGUAGAUAUUCGGAGGAACACCAGUGGCGAAGGCGGCCAUCUGGACAGUCACUGACACUGAGACGCGAAAGCGUGGGUAGCAAACAGG
rnacentral:rRNA from 1 species